rnacentral:rRNA from 1 species
CCUACGGGUGGCUGCAGUGGGGAAUAUUGGACAAUGGGCGAAAGCCUGAUCCAGCCAUGCCGCGUGUGUGAAGAAGGCCUUCGGGUUGUAAAGCACUUUCAGUGGGGAAGAAAGCCUUGGGGCUAAUACCCUCGAGGAAGGACAUCACCCACAGAAGAAGCACCGGCUAACUCCGUGCCAGCAGCCGCGGUAAUACGGAGGGUGCGAGCGUUAAUCGGAAUUACUGGGCGUAAAGCGCGCGUAGGCGGUCUGAUAAGCCGGUUGUGAAAGCCCCGGGCUCAACCUGGGAACGGCAUCCGGAACUGGCAGGCUAGAGUGCAGGAGAGGAAGGUAGAAUUCCCGGUGUAGCGGUGAAAUGCGUAGAGAUCGGGAGGAAUACCAGUGGCGAAGGCGGCCUUCUGGAAUGACACUGACGCUGAGGUGCGAAAGCGUGGGUAGCAAACAGGAUUAGAUACCCGGGUAGUC